UACGUAGGGGGGCUAGCGUUGUCCGGAUUUAUUGGGCGUAAAGAGCGUGUAGGCGGCCAGGUAGGUCCGUUGUGAAAACUCGAGGCUCAACCUCGAGACGUCGGCGGAAACCCUCUGGCUAGAGUCCGGAAGAGGAGAGUGGAAUUCCUGGUGUAGCGGUGAAAUGCGCAGAUAUCAGGAAGAACACCCGUGGCGAAGGCGGCUCUCUGGGACGGUACUGACGCUGAGACGCGAAAAGCGUGGGGGAGCAAACAGG
rnacentral:rRNA from 1 species